UGAGGAAUAUUGGUCAAUGGGCGGGAGCCUGAACCAGCCAAGUCGCGUGAGGGAAGAAGGUACUGAGUAUUGUAAACCUCUUUUGCCAGGGGACAAAGGCGGCCACGGGUGGCCGUAAGAGGGUACCUGGAGAAAAAGCAUCGGCUAACUCCGUGCCAGCAGCCGCGGUAAUACGGAGGAUGCGAGCGUUAUCCGGAUUUAUUGGGUUUAAAGGGUGCGCAGGCGGCGUGUCAAGUCAGCGGUAAAAUGUCGGGGCUCAACCCCGGCCGGCCGUUGAAACUGGCGUGCUCGAGUUGGAGAGAA
rnacentral:rRNA from 1 species